rnacentral:lncRNA from 1 species
GGCGCGGUUGCCACGCGUCGGCUGGUGGCUGUGGGGUUGACGAUAGCCAUUGGCUGGUUGGUGUGGGGGCCGGGGGGAGGGGACGGGGUAGGGGGUGGGUCUAGGUAGGGGCCGUGGAGGAGUUCGGCGUGGUGAAGGUCGGGGCAGCGAUCGGUCAACUUUGGGUUCUGUCCGACAAAGCUGGCGGGCGGAUACGUAGGACAAGGACUUCCCCUCAAUGCCCCCGUUCCUCCCUCUAUCGUCAGUAGCUCGUCUUGCCCCCCCCUUUUGCUCCCGUCAAACCCCCAAGAUUCCCUUUCACCGCGGCGCUGAUGCUUCCCAAACUGGGGAAUUUCACAACGACACACAGAACCUGUGUAAUCCAUCCGUACCGUUCGGGUCAUACGUCAUGCCGGCAGUGGGAUCCAACAGCUCCACAUCCAGCUCCUCAACGCCCUCGUCUUCCGACAGAGCCGCCGCUAUGGCCGCUGCAUCCGCCUCCGAAACCACAGCCGCCGCCGCAGAAGCGUCGCCGCUGCCAGCCCAAUCCUCCGCACUGCCGUAAGCGCCGCCG